CCUACGGGCGGCAGCAGUCGAGAAUCAUUCACAAUGGAGGAAACCCUGAUGGUGCGACGCCGCGUGGAGGAAUGAAGGUCUUCGGAUUGUAAACCCCUGUCAUGUGGGAGCAAAUUAAAAAGAUAGUACCACAAGAGGAAGAGAUGGCUAACUCUGUGCCAGCAGCCGCGGUAAUACAGAGGUCUCAAGCGUUGUUCGGAAUCACUGGGCGUAAAGCGUGCGUAGGCUGUUUCGUAAGUCGUGUGUGAAAGGCGCGGGCUCAACCCGCGGACGGCACAUGAUACUGCGAGACUAGAGUAAUGGAGGGGGAAGCGGAAUUCGUGGUGUAGCAGUGAAAUGCGUAGAUAUCGAGAGGAACACUCGUGGCGAAGGCGGGUUACUGGACAUUAACUGACGCUGAGGCACGAAGGCCAGGGGAGCGAAAGGGAUUAGAUACCCUAGUAGUC
rnacentral:rRNA from 1 species